AACGAACGCUGGCGGCAGGCCUAACACAUGCCAGUCGAGCGGACCUUUCGGGGUCAGCGGCGGACGGGUGAGUAACGCGUGGGAAUAUGCCCUUCUCUACGGAAUAGUCCUGGGAAACUGGGGGUAAUACCGUAUACGCCCUUUGGGGGAAAGAUUUAUCGGGGGAGGAUUAGCCCGCGUUGGAUUAGGUAGUUGGUGGGGUAAUGGCCUACCAAGCCGACGAUCCAUAGCUGGUUUGAGAGGAUGAUCAGCCACACUGGGACUGAGACACGGCCCAGACUCCUACGGGAGGCAGCAGUGGGGAAUCUUAGACAAUGGGGGCAACCCUGAUCUAGCCAUGCCGCGUGAGUGAUGAAGGCCUUAGGGUUGUAAAGCUCUUUCAGCUGGGAAGAUAAUGACGGUACCAGCAGAAGAAGCCCCGGCUAACUCCGUG
rnacentral:rRNA from 1 species